GGCUGAAUCGAGUGUCGUAGCAGGAAUUCUUAAAGCCAGCAGUCCCAAGACUGGGUGGAGAGAGCGGCGGGACAGAGAGAGAGCGCGCCUGAGUGGCAGCAGCAGGCCUUAGUGGCAGUGGACAGCAGGCAGGGGACCAGCGGUGGCUCCAGCCGCAGCGCUGAUGCCAGAAAAGGACAUCCUCCUGGAUCGCCGCAGUGUGCUUCC
rnacentral:lncRNA from 1 species